CCUUCGAUAGCUCAGUUGGUAGAGCGGAGGACUGUAGAUCCUUAGGUCGCUGGUUGGUUCGACUCGCUCGAAGGA
rnacentral:tRNA from 1 species